AAAUUGAAGAGUUUGAUCAUGGCUCAGAUUGAACGCUGGCGGCAGGCCUAACACAUGCAAGUCGAACGGUAACAGGAAGCAGCUUGCUGAUUCGCUGACGAGUGGCGGACGGGUGAGUAAUGUCUGGGAAACUGCCUGAUGGAGGGGGAUAACUACUGGAAACGGUAGCUAAUACCGCAUAAUGUCGCAAGACCAAAGAGGGGGACCUUCGGGCCUCUUGCCAUCGGAUGUGCCCAGAUGGGAUUAGCUAGUAGGUGGGGUAACGGCUCACCUAGGCGACGAUCCC
rnacentral:rRNA from 1 species